AUCAAUAAGCGGGAGGAAAUCGAAUUCCCGCGGCC
rnacentral:rRNA from 1 species